UCCCUGGUGGUUCAAUGGCUAAGACGCUGCACUCCCAAUGCAGGCCCCUUAAGUUCAAUCCUUGGUUAGGGAA
rnacentral:tRNA from 1 species